CCUGAAGCGAGGUUGAACGCACGUCUCAUGUUUUCAUUGUACAAUGUGCUACACAAAGCACCGAUUCCCCCGCGCUUUCUAGGCACAUUGCUGCAAUUUUAUUGUGAAGAAGAAAAGAAAGGUAGCGAAGAGAGAUUGCUUAGAGCUCCUAGACCUUGUAAUCGUUGCUGAUAUUGAGGACAGACGCCAAAUUUAAUCGAGAUGGUAUCAUUUCCUGUGUUAUGCGUAUUCUGCCUUGUGUCAGGCAUUAUCGCUCACAAUGCGUCCUCCAGCUGCAAGUCUAGCGGCUAUGAAUGCAAGCUGAAGCUUUUCUGCCCGAAGCAAGACAGGGUACAUCUAAAAGGCUGUUGGUUUUGGAGUACGUGCUGCAAAACAAAGAAAUCGAAAACCUGUUCGUCGAUUCACGGCAAAUGCCAACAUCACUCUGAAAAAUGCGCCGGACUUGUGAACGGGAACAUAAAAUGCGAAAAAGGCCAGAAGUGUUGUGUCCCCGUUUUGCACUAGUGACCUUUGGAAACUGCAAAUACGCCGUUUUUUCUGCUGGCUUCAUGGAAGCGACUUACCCGGCGUUUUCCUCAUGGUAUUAUUAACAGAAUAUUUCAGAAAUAAAGCUUCCCAUAUUCGGUAAAUUGGAACGAAA